CCUAUACAUGCAAGUCGAACGGUGUCUUCGGACAUAGUGGCGCACGGGUGCGUAACACGUAUGCAACCUACCUUACAUUGGGGGAUAGCCUUUCGAAAGGGAGAUUAAUACCGCAUAAGACAGUAACUAGGCAUCUAGUAGCUGUUAAAGAUUUAUCGAUGUAAGCUGGGCAUGCGACCAAUUAGCUAGUUGGUGAGGUAAUGGCUCACCAAGGCUAUGAUUGGUAGGGGAACUGAGAGGUCAAUCCCCCACACUGGCACUGAGAUACGGGCCAGACUCCUACGGGAGGCAGCAGUAGGGAAUAUUGGGCAAUGGACGCAAGUCUGACCCAGCCAUGCCGCGUGCAGGAUGAAGGCGUUAUGCGUUGUAAACUGCUUUUAUACAGGAAGAAACGACUCUUGCGAGAGGCAUUGACGGUACUGUAUGAAUAAGCACCGGCUAACUCCGUGCCAGCAGCCGCGGUAAUACGGAGGGUGCAAGCGUUGUCCGGAUUUAUUGGGUUUAAAGGGUGCGCAGGUGGUUUAUUAAGUCAGUGGUGAAAGACGGUCGCUCAACGAUUGCAGUGCCAUUGAAACUGGUAGACUUGAGUAAAGUAGAGGUGGGCGGAAUUGAUAGUGUAGCGGUGAAAUGCAUAGAUAUUAUCAAGAACUCCAAUUGCGUAGGCAGCUCACUUGGCUUUUACUGACACUCAUGCACGAAAGUGUGGGUAUCAAACAGGAUUAGAUACCCUGGUAGUCCACACUGUAAACGAUGAUAACUAGGUGUCGGCCGAAUCUGGUCGGUGCCACAGCGAAAGCGUUAAGUUAUCCACCUGGGGAAUA
rnacentral:rRNA from 1 species